AAGCCUGCGCGUGCCUAAUACAUGCAAGUCGAACGAGUUCUGAUUAUUGAAAGGUGCUUGCAUCUUGAUUUAAUUUUGAACGAGUGGCGGACGGGUGAGUAACACGUGGGUAACCUGCCCUUAAGUGGGGGAUAACAUUUGGAAACAGAUGCUAAUACCGCAUAAAUCCAAGAACCGCAUGGUUCUUGGCUGAAAGAUGGCGUAAGCUAUCGCUUUUGGAUGGACCCGCGGCGUAUUAGCUAGUUGGUGAGGUAACGGCUCACCAAGGCAAUGAUACGUAGCCGAACUGAGAGGUUGAUCGGCCACAUUGGGACUGAGACACGGCCCAAACUCCUACGGGAGGCAGCAGUAGGGAAUCUUCCACAAUGGACGCAAGUCUGAUGGAGCAACGCCGCGUGAGUGAAGAAGGCUUUCGGGUCGUAAAACUCUGUUGUUGGAGAAGAAUGGUCGGCAGAGUAACUGUUGUCGGCGUGACGGUAUCCAACCAGAAAGCCACGGCUAACUACGUGCCAGCAGCCGCGGUAAUACGUAGGUGGCAAGCGUUAUCCGGAUUUAUUGGGCGUAAAGCGAGCGCAGGCGGUUUUUUAAGUCUGAUGUGAAAGCCCUCGGCUUAACCGAGGAAGUGCAUCGGAAACUGGGAAACUUGAGUGCAGAAGAGGACAGUGGAACUCCAUGUGUAGCGGUGAAAUGCGUAGAUAUAUGGAAGAACACCAGUGGCGAAGGCGGCUGUCUGGUCUGUAACUGACGCUGAGGCUCGAAAGCAUGGGUAGCGAACAGGAUUAGAUACCCUGGUAGUCCAUGCCGUAAACGAUGAAUGCUAGGUGUUGGAGGGUUUCCGCCCUUCAGUGCCGCAGCUAACGCAUUAAGCAUUCCGCCUGGGGAGUACGACCGCAAGGUUGAAACUCAAAGGAAUUGACGGGGGCCCGCACAAGCGGUGGAGCAUGUGGUUUAAUUCGAAGCAACGCGAAGAACCUUACCAGGUCUUGACAUCUUUUGAUCACCUGAGAGAUCAGGUUUCCCCUUCGGGGGCAAAAUGACAGGUGGUGCAUGGUUGUCGUCAGCUCGUGUCGUGAGAUGUUGGGUUAAGUCCCGCAACGAGCGCAACCCUUAUGACUAGUUGCCAGCAUUUAGUUGGGCACUCUAGUAAGACUGCCGGUGACAAACCGGAGGAAGGUGGGGAUGACGUCAAAUCAUCAUGCCCCUUAUGACCUGGGCUACACACGUGCUACAAUGGAUGGUACAACGAGUUGCGAGACCGCGAGGUCAAGCUAAUCUCUUAAAGCCAUUCUCAGUUCGGACUGUAGGCUGCAACUCGCCUACACGAAGUCGGAAUCGCUAGUAAUCGCGGAUCAGCACGCCGCGGUGAAUACGUUCCCGGGCCUUGUACACACCGCCCGUCACACCAUGAGAGUUUGUAACACCCGAAGCCGGUGGCGUAACCCUUUUAGGGAGCGAGCCGUCU
rnacentral:rRNA from 1 species